GAGGAUGUAGCUCAGUGGUAGAGUACUUGUCUUGCAUGCAUGAGGUCCUGGAUUCAAUCUAGAGUACCCUCC
rnacentral:tRNA from 1 species